UGGAUUUUCAGCAAGAAGAUGAAGACGAAAAGUGGGAUAAGUGAAACCACAGAGAGAGAAAGGUGUGAGAUCCAAAUGAAAGGGUGGGAGUGAUUAUAUAUAGAAAGUAUCUAGGCCUCGACUGUGAGAAACCAUGACGGACGACCAAUACUUCAACAUCUCCCUCGGCGGCUGUGGCGGCCUGUGAAAUUUCCGGGCUCUAGAGGGAGAAAAAAGUUUCUGUAAUAAUCAAUCGCCGGCGGAUUCGAUGGCCAGAGAUGAAGAGGACAUCGCCGGGGUUAUGGACGUGAGGGUGGCGUCUGGUGUGGGAGUGAGAAUGCAAAUUGGUGAUGGGAAUGGGUGCUCAGUGGUGCGACCCUCUUCAUUAUUUUAAUUUGAGUUAAUUUCAGUUAAUUAAAAAAAAAAUAUUUUCAACAUUUAAUAUAUAAAGUUUUUUUUAUCCUAGAAUGAUACAUAAAAUCUUAAUUUAAGAACACUUUCAUAUAUAUGUUAAACUUGUUAUUAAAUCAGCCGUUAACUAGAGACGUGACAGUUACAUAGACAGUGACUAAGAACCACAUGUCAUAGAGCCCUACAAAAAUAUUUAAAAAUAAAUAAAUUUAAAGUUAAAAAAAAAAAAA